CACAGCCAUGUCCAAUUCUGUGCCUGCCCACCCACGGCUGGCACUGGCCCAAAAGGCUACCAUACAAACACCCUGACUCAUGGGCUUGGCCUCAGGAAUAAAUUUGGUUACGGAUACCA
ensembl:snoRNA